GCUGGGCGUGGUGGCGGGCGCCUGUAGUCCCAGCUACUUGGGAGGCUGAGGUGGGAGAAUUGCUUAAACCUGGGAGGUAGAGGUUGCAG
rnacentral:SRP_RNA from 1 species